UUUACUCGUGCAUUAUUACAAGAAAUCGCAACGCCAUCAAUUCUAUUGGGAAAGGCAAAGUGGAUCAUGUUAUUCGUGUUGAUAGAUGAAGAAUUCAAGAAUCCAGUUAGGGUGGAUUAGAAACACACCUAGAAAUAAACUAUGUUGGAAUCUUGUUUUGUUUAUUUGAACAAUGUAUGACAUUUUAGCAUUUAUGAAAUUGAAUUUA
rnacentral:lncRNA from 1 species